rnacentral:rRNA from 1 species
UACAGAGGGGGCAAGCGUUGUCCGGAUUUACUGGGCGUACAGCGCGCGCAGGCGGUUGCGUAUGUGAGCGGUGACAUCCGCGGGCUCAACCCGCGGCGGCCCGCUUACACAGCGCGACUGGAGGCAGGGAGAGGGAUGUGGAAUACCCGGUGGAGCGGUGAAAUGCGUAGAGAUCGGGAAGAACAUCGGUGGCGAAGGCGCUCUACUGGACCACAACUGACACUCAGGGACGAAAGCUAGGGGAGCGAAUGGG